UGCUGGAGGCAGCCCUUUCCGGCAGCAGAGCCCAGGCUGGCUGGUUGCGGGCCAGAGGCAAGGAGGGGAGGCUGAGGACGUGCUUCCUGAGUCCUGCCUGGCUCUGCUUGGCCAGCUGGGGUGGCCCCUGUCCUCGGAGUUGAACCAGCUCGUCUCCACUUCCCCAGCUCCUUAACCCAGAGAAACUUCAAUUUCUGCCCUCAAGAUCCUUCACUUUCUGCUGGAACAACCCAUCAUCUAGGCGAAGGGUCUUCCUUGUCUUCUGGAAUGAACACCCGGUGGAUUGGAUCAUGUCAUCGGUUCCUGGUUCAGAGAGCCUUUCAGAGCUUGCUAACAACCCAAGUCCUGCUCUCCCCUUGCUGGUCGUCACACGAGCUCCACCCCGCUGGUCACCAGGCACUUCACGGAGGAGCUUAGGCUGUGCAGACAGAAAGCCUUGGUCUGUGAAGGAACUGGGGGAUGGUGGUCCCCAGCCCUCCUUCCUGCAAUGCCAUCCUUGCAAACAUCGUGCUUCUCAAUUCUAA